rnacentral:rRNA from 1 species
GUGGGGAAUAUUGGACAAUGGGCGCAAGCCUGAUCCAGCCAUGCCGCGUGAGUGAUGAAGGCCUUAGGGUUGUAAAGCUCUUUCAGUGGGGACGAUAAUGACGGUACCCACAGAAGAAGCCCCGGCUAACUUCGUGCCAGCAGCCGCGGUAAUACGAAGGGGGCUAGCGUUGUUCGGAUUUACUGGGCGUAAAGCGCACGUAGGCGGAUCGUUAAGUCGGGGGUGAAAUCCUGGAGCUCAACUCCAGAACUGCCUUCGAUACUGGCGAUCUUGAGUCCGGAAGAGGUGAGUGGAACUCCUAGUGUAGAUGUGGAAUUCGUAGAUAUUAGGAAGAACACCAGUGGCGAAGGCGGCUCACUGGUCCGGUACUGACGCUGAGGUGCGAAAGCGUGGGGAGCAAACAGGAUUAGAUACCCGAGUAGUCC